AUACGUAGGGGGCAAGCGUUAUCCGGAUUUACUGGGUGUAAAGGGAGCGUAGACGGAAUGGCAAGUCUGAUGUGAAAGCCCCCGGCUCAACCGGGGAGGGUCAUUGGAAACUGGGAGACUCGAGUGCAGAAGAGGAGAGUGGAAUUCAAUGUGUAGCGGUGAAAUGCGUAGAUAUAGGGAGGAACACCAGUGGCGAAGGCGGUUCUCGGGGUGGUAACUGACGCUGAGGCUCGAAAGCGUGGGGGGCAAACAGGAUUAGAUACCCUGGUAGUCCACGCCGUAAACGAUGAGUACUAGCUGUCGGGGGUUUCCCCCCUCGGUGGCGCAGCUAACGCAUUAAGUACUCCGCCUGGGAAGUUCGCUCGCAAGAGUGAAACUCAAAUGAAUUGGCGGGG
rnacentral:rRNA from 1 species